ensembl:lncRNA
GGCUGACUGCCACUGGGGAAGGAUCUCUGAUUAGAGGUCUCUCUAGUGUUGAGCUUCCUUUGUAAGCCUGGGUCUUUGGAGGUGGCUUGCGGGACAAUCCCACAGCCCUGUUCCUUGCCAUGGUCCCCCAUGUUACACUGGAAUCAGCCUUGCCAGCUCGCUCAGCCUGACAUUGAUGUGCUUUGCUUACACCUCAUUGUGUGCCAGCAGUGAUGUGGGAUUUGCUUUUUUGGGCUUUGGGAAAGAGGUGUGAAGAAGAGAGGGACCAAAAUGAUGGGAGUCACGGACUGACAAGUGAUGUCUUACCCAUAUUCCAAACAGUCCUCUGGAAUGUUCGGAGAACCCCACGCAAGGAGUCUCGAUCCGCUCCUUGGAGUCCCCCUGAAAGCCUAAAACAAGCUUUUCAUCUCUGCCCAGUGCUUCACCUGGUUCUGAAUAAUUUUGUUUCUUCCUCUUAUAUCUAUUACAUUAAAAGUUACUUUCAAAGGAAAUUGUUGCAUCAACAAGCACUCAGAAAACAUAAAUCAACUGUGUUCUCUUUGCAGCCCUUGAUUUACCCCCUACACAACAGGCUUUAUUUGCAGUGUUGCAUAAUAUAUUUCCCACGGUGCUGUGGCCUUAUUCUGCACGUGGAAAGGGCAAUACUUAAC